CCCGAAUGGGGAAACCCAGUGUGACUCGUCACACUAUCAUUAACUGAAUCCAUAGGUUAAUGAGGCGAACCGGGGGAACUGAAACAUCUAAGUACCCCGAGGAAAAGAAAUCAACCGAGAUUCCCCCAGUAGCGGCGAGCGAACGGGGAGGAGCCCAGAGCCUGAAUCAGCAUGUGUGUUAGUGGAAGCGUCUGGAAAGGCGCGCGAUACAGGGUGACAGCCCCGUACACAAAAGCGCAUGUGCUGUGAGCUCGAUGAGUAGGGCGGGACACGUGGUAUCCUGUCUGAAUAUGGGGGGACCAUCCUCCAAGGCUAAAUACUCCUGACUGACCGAUAGUGAACCAGUACCGUGAGGGAAAGGCGAAAAGAACCCCGGCGAGGGGAGUGAAAAAGAACCUGAAACCGUGUACGUACAAGCAGUGGGAGCACCCUUUGGGUGUGACUGCGUACCUUUUGUAUAAUGGGUCAGCGACUUAUAUUCUGUAGCAAGGUUAACCGAAUAGGGGAGC
rnacentral:rRNA from 1 species